rnacentral:rRNA from 1 species
AGAGUUUGAUCAUGGCUCAGAUUGAACGCUGGCGGCAGGCCUAACACAUGCAAGUCGAGCGGUAGCACAAGAGAGCUUGCUCUCUGGGUGACGAGCGGCGGACGGGUGAGUAAUGUCUGGGAAACUGCCUGAUGGCGGGGGAUAACUAGUGGAAACGGUAGCUAAUACCGCAUAACGUCGCAAGACCAAAGUGGGGGACCUUCGGGCCUCACGCCAUCAGAUGUGCCCAGGUGGGAUUAGCUGGUAGGUGGGGUAACGGCUCACCUAGGCGACGAUCCCUAGCUGGUCUGAGAGGAUGACCAGCCACACUGGAACUGAGACACGGUCCAGACUCCUACGGGAGGCAGCAGUGGGGAAUAUUGCACAAUGGGCGCAAGCCUGAUGCAGCCAUGCCGCGUGUGUGAAGAAGGCCUUCGGGUUGUAAAGCACUUUCAGCGAGGAGGAAGGGUAAUGUGUUAAUAAGACAUUGCAUUGACGUUACUCGCAGAAGAAGCACCGGCUAACUCCGUGCCAGCAGCCGCGGUAAUACGGAGGGUGCAAGCGUUAAUCGGAAUUACUGGGCGUAAAGCGCACGCAGGCGGUUUGUUAAGUCAGAUGUGAAAUCCCCGCGCUCAACGUGGGAACGGCAUUUGAGACUGGCAAGCUAGAGUCUUGUAGAGGGGGGUAGAAUUCCAGGUGUAGCGGUGAAAUGCGUAGAGAUCUGGAGGAAUACCGGUGGCGAAGGCGGCCCCCUGGACAAAGACUGACGCUCAGGUGCGAAAGCGUGGGGAGCAAACAGGAUUAGAUACCCUGGUAGUCCACGCUGUAAACGAUGUCGAUUUGGAGGUUGCGCCCUUGAGGGGUGGCUUCCGUAGCUAACGCGUUAAAUCGACCGCCUGGGGAGUACGGCCGCAAGGUUAAAACUCAAAUGAAUUGACGGGGGCCCGCACAAGCGGUGGAGCAUGUGGUUUAAUUCGAUGCAACGCGAAGAACCUUACCUACUCUUGACAUCCAAAGAACUUUCCAAAGAUGGAGGGGUGCCUUCCGGAACUCUUAAACAGGUGCUGCAUGGCUGUCCUCACCUCCGGUUUGGAAAAGUUGGGGUAAGUCCCCCAACGAGGGCAACCCUUAUCUUUUGUUGCCACCGAUAAAGUCGGGAAAUCAAAAGAAACUCCCGGGUAUAAACCCGAGGAAGGGGGGGUAAAAGCUAAUCAUAAGUGGCGCUUAUGAUAAAGGUGUCGCACUGUGCCAUAGGGGUGUAUCAAAGUAAGAUCC